AAGCCAUGGUGUGGGCAUUGAGCUUGGUAGCCCUUGAAUCUCUCCCAGGCUUCACUGAAGCCUUCCAAGCCCAUCUGUUGAAAACUGAAGAUCUCAUUUCUCAGCUU
rnacentral:snoRNA from 1 species